GUGAGUGAUGACAGAAAAAAAAAGAGGGGAAGGGGCUAAGUAUAAAAAUAUAAAUGUCUGUCUCGAGUGUGAAAAUGUUUGAAGAUGGGAGGUAAUACAGACAGAACAGACACCCUAAAGAGGGUGAGAGGAAAAAAAGAGUGCGCAAGAGAGUAGGGUGGGGAUAAAGGGGGAGGGAAGGAAACGAAGAGUGAGAGAGAGAGGGAGAGGGGGAGGAGAAGGAAGCAGAGCACAUUCACAAUUUUCAUUCAAACUGACACAGCCUGUGUGUCCCGGUUUGCACUCCCCACUCCUCUCUUUCUACACACACACACACACACAGACACACACACAGAGCCAGAAACACAAGACCGUCUGCAGAUAAGUUAACAGCGGCUAGAGGACAGCUUCAAGAAGAGUGAGAGACCGGGACGAGAAAACCCGAGGAGACCAGCGGAAGGGGUGAGAAUAGAAAGAGGAGGUCUGGAAAUUCACAAAGAGAUGUCAGGGUGGAAGGUGAGUAGGGCAGAGGACGAAGAGUUUUAAAAUAGAAGAGAGAAAAAGGGAGGUGGAGGAAUGCAGGGGUGGAACGGCCGAGCUCGACGUAUGGAGGGGGGCAGAGAUCGACUGGAGCCAGACUGGGUGUAUGCAUCUGAGAGAGUCUCUGUGGGGGUGAUCUUCAGUGCCAGAGGAGGUUGCCCUGGAUACAGACUAAAUAAUCUCUGCAUGCUUCCCUGCAAAGCACCAUGGGACACUUCAUGUUCCUUGUCCCUCUGUCUAUUAAUGUGACCUGAAGUGUGGAGAGCUCUGUCUGGUGUGCCGUAGAUGGCUGUGAUGGUGCAACCAUGACAAAUCAGAAAAUACAGAGCAGGAGAAUAAAGUCUUUUAGGUGGUUUUAUGUGGGAGUCGGGAGAAAUCAUGUUUCACAGCCAGAAAACCUCUGUGUGGCUGUGCCAAGAAUGACCGUCUGGGAUUGUCUACCUUUGUACUUUCUCCUUUCAACACCAAUCAAAUAAACGUUUGUAAACUA